rnacentral:rRNA from 1 species
UACGUAGGGUGCAAGCGUUGUCCGGAAUUAUUGGGCGUAAAGAGCUCGUAGGCGGUCUGUUGCGUCGGCUGUGAAAACUCGGGGCUCAACCCCGAGCCUGCAGUGGGUACGGGCAGACUAGAGUGCAGUAGGGGAGACUGGAAUUCCUGGUGUAGCGGUGAAAUGCGCAGAUAUCAGGAGGAACACCGAUGGCGAAGGCAGGUCUCUGGGCCGAUACUGACGCUGAGGAGCGAAAGCGUGGGGAGCGAACAGG